AACUAUUUAAGUUCAGUCAGUCUUCAUUUAUAAUAUUUCACUGAUGAUAUAUUUCCAUAUCUGAAAUAUAGACCCAUUCUUUAUUUUAAUCUCCAUCACCCGCCUUUCAUUUUUUGUUAAUAUUUGUGAAUAUGAGCGUUGUUCCAUUUAUGAUAUUUGGGUCGAUGAAAGCGAGAGACUUGAGAGAGAACUUUGAGAACUUCCUUACUCGAAAUAUGUUAUAUAUUGCCACAAACCUGUUUAAUAAAUGCUCAACUUAACUAAAUUUUAUGUUCCAGGAAUUUGGGUUCUAAUGGUCUCAAUGAAAUCAAAGCUGAAACAUUCCAAAACCUGUCCAGUUUAACAUAUCUGGAUUUGAGUAAUAAUGGUCUCGAUGAAAUCAAAGCAGAAACCUUCCAAUAUUUGUCCAGCUUAACAACUCUGGAUUUGCAGAAAAACAAUAUCAAAAAUAUCACAGAAGGAGCCUUCCAAUAUUUGUCCAGUUUAACAAGUCUGAAUUUGUAUGGUAAUAAUAUCAAAGUAGUCAAACCAGCAGACUUCCAAAGUUUGUCCAAGUUAACAAGACUGUAAGUUAGAUUAGUCUUCUUUAUAGUAUUUCAUAAACUAUAUAUUUCUAAAUCUGUAAUAUCUCCCAUCUCUAUUUUU